rnacentral:tRNA from 1 species
GCUUAGUGCUCUGACAUAGCUCAGUUGGUAGAGCAUGAGACUCUUAAUCUCAGGGUCAUGGGUUCAAACCCCACAUUGGGCA